AUCUAAACCAGACAGGCUCUAGGGAUCAUCGUCCGGCCCGGCGCUAAAGACGAAAGGCCCUGACGCUCACCGCGUCAGGGCCUUUCUCGU
rnacentral:sRNA from 1 species